UGGGGAAUAUUGCACAAUGGGCGAAAGCCUGAUGCAGCAACGCCGCGUGAGUGAUGAAGGUCUUCGGAUUGUAAAGCUCUGUCUUUUGGGACGAUAAUGACGGUACCAAAGGAGGAAGCCACGGCUAACUACGUGCCAGCAGCCGCGGUAAUACGUAGGUGGCGAGCGUUGUCCGGAUUUACUGGGCGUAAAGGGUGCGUAGGCGGAUGUUUAAGUGAGAUGUGAAAUACCCGGGCUUAACUUGGGUGCUGCAUUUCAAACUGGAUAUCUAGAGUGCAGGAGAGGAGAAUGGAAUUCCUAGUGUAGCGGUGAAAUGCGUAGAGAUUAGGAAGAACACCAGUGGCGAAGGCGAUUCUCUGGACUGUAACUGACGCUGAGGCACGAAAGCGUGGGCAGCAAACAGGAUUAGAUACCCUGGUAGUCCACGCCGUAAACGAUGAGUACUAGGUGUAGGAGGUAUCGACCCCUUCUGUGCCGCAGUAAACACAUUAAGUACUCCGCCUGGGGAAGUACGAUCGCAAGAUUAAAACUCUAAAGUGAAUUGACGGGGGUCAUA
rnacentral:rRNA from 1 species